CGCGUAGGCGGCGCGGUAAGUCACUUGUGAAAUCUCUGAGCUUAACUCAGAACGGCCAAGUGAUACUGCAGUGCUAGAGUGUAGAAGGGGCAAUCGGAAUUCUUGGUGUAGCGGUGAAAUGCGUAGAUAUCAAGAGGAACACCUGAGGUGAAGACGGGUUGCUGGUCUAACACUGACGCUGAGGCGCGAAAGCCAGGGGAGCAAACGGGAUUAGAUACCCCGGUAGUCCUGGCCCUAAACGAUGAAUACUUGGUGUCCGGGGUUUCAAGACCCUGGGUGCCGUCGCUAACGUUUUAAGUAUUCCGCCUGGGGAGUACGCUCGCAAGAGUGAA
rnacentral:rRNA from 1 species